AGUGGAGAGUGGAGACUCUCAUUGUGGAGAGUGGUUUGGAAGUCCUAAUGCCUGUUACUGACAGGGUGGGCAAGUGAAAAACCUCACAAGAAAGAACACAUUCUCUCUGAAGAAAGAAAAUAAAAGCAAGUAGGAGAACCACAGUUUCCUAUUAGACAAGAAGUGACAGGUUACCGUAAUCCAGAUGUCCUUGAAGUUAGAAGCACUUAGGAAAACUUUUGCUUUGAGUGCAUUGUAUAGGACCACAUUAACAGGUCUGCUGGAGUUUGCUGGGGAUCCACCCCAGACUCUGUUUGUCUGCAUAUCGCCAGUGGAGGCUACAGAAUAGCAAAGAUUGCUGCCUGCUCCUUCCUCUGGAAGCUUCGUCCCAGAGGGGGACCUGCCAGAUGCCAGCUGGAGCUGUUUUGUAUAAGGUGUCUGUCGACCUCUGCUGGGAGGUGUCUCCUUGUCAGGAGGCACGGGGGUCAGGGACCCACUUGAGGAGGCAGUCUGUCCCUUAGCAGAGGUUGAGCACUGUGCUGGGAGAUCUGCUAGAUCUGCUGCUCUCUUCAGAGCUGGCAGGCAGGAACGUUUAAUUCUGCUGAAGCUGUGCCCACACCCCAAACUUUUGCCUUUUUAAGAAUUAGUUAUCUGAUAGAUUUUUUUAACAAUUGUUUUAUAUUUUUAUUAUUUACAUAACAACUGUAUUGAGAUAUGAGUUACGUACCAUAUAAUUCACCAAUUUAAAAUAUAUGGUUUUAAUGAGAACACAUGGACACAUGGAGGGAACAACACACACUGGGGCCUGUAGGGUGGUAGGGUGGGGGGAUGGAGAGCAUCAGGAUAAAUAGCUAAUGCAUGCUGGGAUUAAUACCUAGGUGAUAGGUUGAUAGGUGCAGGAAACCAUGGCACUUGUUUACCUAUGUAGCAAGCCUGCACAUCCUGCACAUGUAACCUGGAACUUAAAAUAAAAUUAAAAUUAAAAAAAAUAAA
rnacentral:lncRNA from 1 species